rnacentral:pre_miRNA from 1 species
UUGACAGAUUAUUGUAUUCGACUGUAUUCACGACGUGAAAUAGGGGAUUACACUGUUUUUAAAACGGAAAGUGAAUCAACUAACAUAAUAGACUCCU